GUGUCUUUACUCCCCUCCCGAUCUCGGCCCUCGGCUCCAGGUAUGUAGUGUCCACCUGCCUGGGAUCCAUGGACCACGUGGUGUUAGUGAUUGCUAACUACAACCGAAAGACGGACGUGGACAUAACGCUGAUGCUUGAGGGGAACGUCACCUAUGACAACAUGACAUACAACGACGGAGACACGAUCCACGUGAGUCUAGAUGAGUAUCAGACCUUCACGUUGAAGAGCGCCUAUGACCUGACUGGAACUGUUAUCAACACAACACGUGCUGUAGCUGUGUUCAGUGGGGCAAUGACAGGAGAUUAUGUCAGAGCCGUUGCACAACUA